ensembl:rRNA 5S_rRNA 5S ribosomal RNA
GCUUACGGCCAUACCACCCUGAACACGCCCGAUCUCGUCCGAUCUCGGAAGCUAAGCAGGGUCGGGCCUGGUUAUACUUGGAUGGAGACCGCCUGGGAAUACCAGGUGCUGUAAGCU